GCCCUUUUCAUCGCGGCGCCGAGCGCCUAUAUGUUCGCUGUCGUCGCAAGGCGACUAUGGCAAUAAACGAACGAUGGAAUAAGCCUAUUGGACCCGGGGGCGGUACCCGGCGCCUCCACCAAAAACCGGUCUAAUCGCCGAUGUCUCGGCGCUUUACGACAGCUGACCGGCUUUUGAUGGGGGCGAAAUAGGAUCGACAAGGGUGUAAAGAUCGCUUUUUUGCUCGGCAUGAUACCACCGUCAUCGGGUCACACUAGUAGUUGCCAACGACAACUAUGCGGAAGCUCGUCUCGCUGCCUAAUGGCGGUGUGACACUUCAAAUCAAGUCCUAAGGGGUCGCACUCUUAGGCGGGGUCCGAAGGCACCUGGCAACAGAAGCCUUCACU
rnacentral:tmRNA from 1 species